rnacentral:rRNA from 1 species
GAUGAACGCUGGCGGCGUGCCUAAUACAUGCAAGUCGAGCGGCAGCACGGUCUUCGGACUGGUGGCGAGCGGCGGACGGCUGAGUAACGCGUAGGAACGUACCCCAAAGUGAGGGAUAACUGCUCGAAAGAGUAGCUAAUACCGCAUGUGAUCUAAGGAUUAAAGCUUCGGCGCUUUGGGAACGGCCUGCGUCCGAUUAGCUAGUUGGUGAGGUAAAAGCUCACCAAGGCGACGAUCGGUAGCUGGUCUGAGAGGAUGAUCAGCCAGACUGGGACUGAGACACGGCCCAGACUCCUACGGGAGGCAGCAGUAGGGAAUUUUCCACAAUGGGCGAAAGCCUGAUGGAGCAACGCCGCGUGCAGGAUGAAUGCCUUAGGGUUGUAAACUGCUUUUAUAUGUGACGAAUAUGACGGUAGCAUAUGAAUAAGGAUCGGCUAACUCCGUGCCAGCAGCCGCAGUAACAC